AGCAGCCGCGGUAAUUCCAGCUCCAACAGCGUAUAUUAAAGUUGUUGCAGUUAAAAAGCUCGUAGUUGAACUUCGGGGUCUACCCAUUGGUCAGGCUUAAUUGUCUGCACUGGUGAGAUGGAUCUCUACCUUCUGAGGAACUUUCAUGCCAUUUAUUUGGUGUGGUUGGAAAUCAGGACUGUUACUUUGAAAAAAUUAGAGUGUUUAAAGCAGACUAUCGUCUGAAUACAUUAGCAUGGAAUAAUGAAAUAGGACGGACUGAUUCUAUUUCGUUGGUUUCUAGGAUCACCGUAAUGAUUAAUAGGGAUAGUUGGGGGCAUUAGUAUUCAAUUGUCAGAGGUGAAAUUCUUGGAUUUAUUGAAGACUAACUACUGCGAAAGCAUUUGCCAAGGAUGUUUUCAUUAAUCAAGAACGAAAGUUAGGGGAUCGAAGACGAAUCAGAUACCGUCG
rnacentral:rRNA from 1 species